rnacentral:rRNA from 1 species
GCCUAUGCAGAGAAGGCGCACGCGGUGGUCCUGCUCUAGAGCGAGUCUUUACGACUCUCGACAACGGAUAUCUUGGCUCUCGCAUCGAUGAAGAACGUAGCGAAGUGCGAUCUUGGUGUGAAUUGCAGAAUCCCGUGAACCAUCGAGUCUUUGAACGCAAGUUG